UACGGAGGGUGCAAGCGUUAUCCGGAUUCACUGGGCUUAAAGGGUGCGUAGGCGGGCAGGUAAGUCAGUGGUGAAAUCUCCAAGCUUAACUUGGAAACUGCCGUUGAUACUAUCUGUCUUGAAUAUUGUGGAGGUGAGCGGAAUAUGUCAUGUAGCGGUGAAAUGCUUAGAUAUGACAUAGAACACCAAUUGCGAAGGCAGCUCACUACACAAUCAUUGACUCUGAGGCACGAAAGCGUGGGGAUCAAACAGG
rnacentral:rRNA from 1 species